rnacentral:tRNA from 1 species
GGUUCGAUAGUGUAGUGGUUAGCACUCUGGAAUUUGAAUCCAGCUAUUCGGGUUCGAAUCUCGCUUGAACGUCA